rnacentral:rRNA from 1 species
CGGUUCCUACGGGGCGCAGCAGUGGGGGAUAUUGCACAAUGGGGGGAACCCUGAUGCGGCGACGCCGCGUGGGCGAUGGAGUGCUUCGGCAUGUAAAGCCCUAUCAGCAGGGAAGAAAAUGACGGUACCUGACUAAGAAGCCCCGGCUAAAUACGUGCCAGCAGCCGCGGUAAUACGUAUGGGGCAAGCGUUAUCCGGAUUUACUGGGUGUAAAGGGAGCGUAGGCGGCCUGGCAAGCCUGAUGUGAAAACCACGGGCUCAACCUGUGGCCUGCAUUUGAAACUGUUUUUCUUGAGUACUGGAGG